AAAUUGACAACCUAUAGCUAGAUUGACUGCAUUGGAAUGAAUAGUUGUGCCCCACACUCCCAAAAUCAUAUGCUAGAAUUCUACUGGAUUCCAAUUUGUUCAUUCAAAAAUAACAUAAAUUGCUGGCAAAAGUCAGUAGAAGAUAUUAUAUUUAUAUUUACAUGGAUUAAGCUGCCAGGAGUGCUAUCAGAAAAUUUAAAUUAACAUGGAAUGGGAUGAAAUUUCCCCAAGUCAAAGAUACCAACAGAGAGGCAAAGAGAGGUGGUCAGUGGUUAAAGACAGAUGAGCAAUUAAGGUACUUUCUUCUUAAUAAUGGAAUGCAUUAACAUUUAAAAUUCACUAAUUCUAUUGAUCUUCUAAGGGAAAAAAUUGUUUAAGUUGUUCCUAAAUCUAUCUCUGACUUGUAGGCCCGUGAGAAGCAAAACCACAGCAGGAAGUCAAAUUAAGGUUUGACUGACUUCACCAAGAAACCUGGAAAAAACCUAUGAUGCCAGAAUGUUAAGAUUUCCCUUAAACCAUUCUGUGUAUUCGCAACUCAAUGGUGUGCAUUUAGUAACAACAGCAGGCUCAGCCUGUUCAGUCAUUAAUAAUCACUGUGUGGAAAAGAGUCCAUGGGCUAGUAAUCUAGCAAGAAAAAAUGAAGUCGAGGGAGCUUGAGUCGUAACCUGACUGGGUGACUUCAGUCCUUUAAAUACGUAAACUC
rnacentral:lncRNA from 1 species